rnacentral:rRNA from 1 species
AUCUCCUGGGCGCAGCAGUGAGGAAUAUUAGUCAAUGGCCGCAGGGCUGAACCAGCCAAGUCGCGUGAGGGAUGACGGUCCUAUGGAUUGUAAACCUCUUUUGUCAGGGAGCAAAGGGCGCCACGUGUGGCGUUUUGCGAGUACCUGAAGAAAAAGCAUCGGCUAACUCCGUGCCAGCAGCCGCGGUAAUACGGAGGAUGCGAGCGUUAUCCGGAUUUAUUGGGUUUAAAGGGGGCGCAGGCGGAAUGUCAAGUCAGCGGUAACAUUUCGUGUCUCAACCCCGUCGUGCCGUUGAAACUGGCGCU